GGAGUAAAAGUCGUAACAAGGUCUCCGUAGGUGAGCCUGCGGAGGGAUCAUUACAGAGUUCAUGCCCUACCGGGUAGAUCUCCCACCCUAUGUUAUUAUUACUUUGUUGCUUUGGCGGGCCGUUAGGCUCCGGCCCGACUACCGGCCCCGGCUGGUAAGCGCCCGCCAGAGGACCCAAAACCCUGAAUAUUAGUGUCGUCUGAGUACUAUAUAAUAGUUAAAACUUUCAACAACGGAUCUCUUGGUUCUG
rnacentral:misc_RNA from 1 species